rnacentral:rRNA from 1 species
UACGGAGGGUGCAAGCGUUAAUCGGAAUUACUGGGCGUAAAGCGCGCGUAGGCGGCUUGGUCAGUCGGAUGUGAAAGCCCCGGGCUCAACCUGGGAAUUGCAUUCGAUACUGCCGAACUAGAGUAUGGGAGAGGGAAGUGGAAUUUCCGGUGUAGCGGUGAAAUGCGUAGAUAUCGGAAAGAACACCAGUGGCGAAGGCGACUUCCUGGCCCAAUACUGACGCUGAGGUGCGAAAGCGUGGGGAGCAAACAGGAUUAGAUACCCCCGGUA